GUGUGGGAGGGGCAACCACAUUGCCACUUUUAGGACUAGGAGGGGUCUGCUGUGAUGAACCGCAUGUUCAGUCCGUGUUUCACCUGAUCUACCCUGAUUACACACAUGCCCUGAGCAGACUAAUGAAACAAACACCUGCAGCUGAAGUCUGAUUUGGGGGAAAACUGAUGUUCUAAUGGUUUCCAAUGCAACCAUAUGUAAAGUCCCAGACAGUGAGGGGAAUAAGUAGCAGAUCCAGGGGACCUCUUCAGAAACAUGGAUCCGGUUUCUAUGCAAAUGAAGGAGGGACAGAGAUACAAGGAAAUGAGUUUUCCCUGUAGCUGGUAGCGUGCUCUUUUUAAAAAAAAAAAAAAAAAAAAAAGUCAUUACCUGGAAAUAAUUCCUCUUUGCUUCUGUAGGUGCAAGAACUCUGAAGACAAGAUUGGCUGGUUUCGCUUCUCCCUCACCCUGGAUCCCUUAUAGGAAUCACAGAUGGAUGAUUUGAGAUGAGCCUUAAAGGAAAGGAAAAUGUAUCUUUCUCUCCACCAGCAUCAACUGUAAGAGAGAAUUUGGGGCCUGAAGAUUAAAAGAUUUGCCCUGUCUCCAAUCUGCAUUACAAGGACUCUUUGAAGUUAUGUCCAGGAAAGGCUAUACUAAAAACAGGAUAAAUAAUAAAACUAGAUUGAAUGGA